rnacentral:rRNA from 1 species
UGAGUAACACGUGGGUGAUCUGCCCUGCACUUUGGGAUAAGCCUGGGAAACUGGGUCUAAUACCGAAUAUGACCACGCGCUUCAUGGUGUGUGGUGGAAAGCUUUUGCGGUGUGGGAUGGGCCCGCGGCCUAUCAGCUUGUUGGUGGGGUAAUGGCCUACCAAGGCGACGACGGGUAGCCGGCCUGAGAGGGUGACCGGCCACACUGGGACUGAGAUACGGCCCAGACUCCUACGGGAGGCAGCAGUGGGGAAUAUUGCACAAUGGGCGCAAGCCUGAUGCAGCGACGCCGCGUGAGGGAUGACGGCCUUCGGGUUGUAAACCUCUUUCAAUAGGGACGAAGCGCAAGUGACGGUACCUAUAGAAGAAGGACCGGCCAACUACGUGCCAGCAGCCGCGGUAAUACGUAGGGUCCGAGCGUUGUCCGGAAUUACUGGGCGUAAAGAGCUCGUAGGUGGUUUGUCGCGUUGUUCGUGAAAACUCACAGCUUAACUGUGGGCGUGCGGGCGAUACGGGCAGACUAGAGUACUGCAGGGGAGACUGGAAUUCCUGGUGUAGCGGUGGAAUGCGCAGAUAUCAGGAGGAACACCGGUGGCGAAGGCGGGUCUCUGGGCAGUAACUGACGCUGAGGAGCGAAAGCGUGGGGAGCGAACAGGAUUAGAUACCCUGGUAGUCCACGCCGUAAACGGUGGGUACUAGGUGUGGGUUUCCUUCCUUGGGAUCCGUGCCGUAGCUAACGCAUUAAGUACCCCGCCUGGGGAGUACGGCCGCAAGGCUAAAACUCAAAGGAAUUGACGGGGGCCCGCACAA